rnacentral:misc_RNA from 1 species
CCGAGUUUACAACUCCCAAACCCCUGUGAACAUACCUUAAUUGUUGCCUCGGCGGAUCAGCCCGCUCCCGGUAAAACGGGACGGCCCGCCAGAGGACCCAAACCCUACUGUUUUUAGUGUAUCUUCUGAGUAACAAAAACAAAUAAAUCA